UAAAAAGGUUAACGAUAUUUGGAAAACAUAACAUGCAGCGAGCUGUUCGGUAAAUACAAUAAUAAAAAGGUAUUGAUAUUUGGAGAACAUAACAUGCAGCGUGCUGUUCGGUAAAAACAAUAAUAAAAAGGUUAACGAUAUUUGGAGAACAUAACAUGCAGCGGGCUGUUCGCUAAAUACAAUAAUAAAAAGGUUAACGAUAUUUGGAGAACAUAACAUGCAGCGGGCUGUUCGCUAAAUACAAUAAUAAAAAGGUUAACGAUAUUUGGAGAACAUAACAUGCAGCGGGCUGUUCGCUAAAUACAAUAAUAAAAAGGUUAACGAUAUUUGGAGAACAUAACAUGCAGCGGGCUGUUCGCUAAAUACAAUAAUAAAAAGGUUAACGAUAUUUGGAGAACAUAACAUGCAGCGGGCUGUUCGCUAAAUACAAUAAUAAAAAGGUUAACGAUAUUUGGAGAACAUAACAUGCAGCGUGCUGUUCGGUAAAAACAAUAAUAAAAAGGUUAACGAUAUUUGGAGAACAUAACAUGCAGCGGGCUGUUCGCUAAAUACAAUAAUAAAAAGGUUAACGAUAUUUGGAGAACAUAACAUGCAGCGGGCUGUUCGCUAAAUACAAUAAUAAAAAGGUUAACGAUAUUUGGAGAACAUAACAUGCAGCGGGCUGUUCGCUAAAUACAAUAAUAAAAAGGUUAACGAUAUUUGGAGAACAUAACAUGCAGCGGGCUGUUCGCUAAAUACAAUAAUAAAAAGGUUAACGAUAUUUGGAGAACAUAACAUGCAGAGUGCUGUUCGGUAAAACCUCAAGGAUUCCCAAACCCCUUUGACCAGGUUUGUCCUUGAAAUCCCCCUUAGAUUUAAAGCUAAUAUUUCUUUAUCAACACAUUCGCUUUUAUUUUUAUUUCAAUUGUUUUAGUUUCAAAGUUUUUGUAUUAUUUUUAUU